rnacentral:rRNA from 1 species
CACCGCCGCGGGAAUACGGAGGGUGCAAGCGUUAAUCGGAAUUACUGGGCGUAAAGCGCACGCAGGCGGUCUGACAAGUCAGAUGUGAAAUCCCCGGGCUUAACCUGGGAACUGCAUUUGAAACUGUCAGGCUGGAGUCUUGUAGAGGGGGGUAGAAUUCCAGGUGUAGCGGUGAAAUGCGUAGAGAUCUGGAGGAAUACCGGUGGCGAAGGCGGCCCCCUGGACAAAGACUGACGCUCAGGUGCGAAAGCGUGGGGAGCAAACAGGAUUAGAUACCCCAGUAGUCCCUGUCUCUUAUACA